rnacentral:rRNA from 1 species
GGAUUACCUUCUUUUAUCACAUGUUAAAAGAGAAAUGCUCCGGCGCUUUGGGAUGGUCUCGCGACCUAUCAGCUUGUUAGUGAGGUAAAAGCUCACCAAGGCAUCGACGGGUAGCUGGUCUGAGAGGAUGUCCAGCCACAUUGGGACUGAGAUACGGCCCAAACUCCUACGGGAGGCAGCAGUAGGGAAUCUUGCACAAUGAGGGAAACCUUGAUGCAGCGACGCCGCGUGCGGGACGAACGGCCCUAGGGUUGUAAACCGCUUUCAGUAGGGACGAAAGUGACGGUACCUACAGAAGAAGCCCCGGCCAACUAUGUG